rnacentral:misc_RNA from 1 species
GAUAAGAACGUAGCGAAACGCGAUAAGUAAUGUGAAUUGCAGAAUCCAGUGAAUCAUCGAAUCUUUGAACGCACAUUGCGCCCGCCAGCAUUCUGGCGGGCAUGCCUGUUCGAGCGUCAUUUCAACCCUCGACCUCCCCUUGGGGAGGUCGGCGUUGGGGACCGGCAGCACACCGCCGGCCCUGAAAUGGAGUGGCGGCCCGUCCGCGGCGACCUCUGCGCAGUAAUACAGCUCGCACCGGGACCCCGACGCGGCCACGCCGUAAAACACCCAACUUCUGAACGUUGACCUCGAAUCAGGUAGGACUACCCGCUGAACUUAAGCAUAUCAAUAAGCGGAGGA